AUUGCUUGUAGAAAAUACUACAAUUGAACAGCUUGGUUUGGCCCGAAAAGUGACCAUCUCUAAGGACACUACUACCAUCAUUGCUGACGCUGCAUCAAAAGACGAGCUACAAGCAAGGAUUGCACAGCUAAAGAAAGAAUUGGCUGAGACGGAUUCUGUUUACGACACAGAGAAACUGGCAGAAAGAAUUGCAAAAUUAUCUGGUGGUGUUGCUGUCAUUAAGGUAGGAGCUGCGACAGAGACUGAACUUGAGGACAGGAAGCUCCGUAUUGAAGAUGCAAAGAAUGCA
rnacentral:misc_RNA from 1 species